AUUGAACGCUGGCGGCAGGCCUAACACAUGCAAGUCGAACGAGUGGCGGACGGGUGAGUAAUGUCUGGGAAACUGCCCGAUGGAGGGGGAUAACUACUGGAAACGGUAGCUAAUACCGCAUACCAUCGGAUGUGCCCAGAUGGGAUUAGUGAGUAGGUGGGGUAAUGGCUCCACUAGGCGACGAUCCCUAGCUGGUCUGAGAGGAUGACCAGCCAAACUGGAACGGAGACACGGUCCAGACUCCUACGGGAGGCAGCAGUGGGGAAUAUUGCACGAUGGGCGCAAGCCGGAUGCAGCCAUGCCGCGUGUAUGAAGAAGGCCUUCGGGUUGUAAAGUACUUUCAGCGGGGAGGCGUUACCCGCAGAAGAAGCACCGGCUAACUCCGUGCCAGCAGCCGCGGUAAUUC
rnacentral:rRNA from 1 species